rnacentral:rRNA from 1 species
CUUGCAUAAUAUAAGAGGUCUAGCCUGCCCAGUGACCCAGUUCAACGGCCGCGGUAUCCUAACCGUGCGAAGGUAGCGUAAUCACUUGUUCUUUAAAUGAGGACUAGUAUGAAUGGCAUCACGAGGGUUACACUGUCUCCUUUUUCUAAUCAAUGAAACUAAUCUCCCCGUGAAGAAGCGGGGAUAUGUAUAUAAGACGAGAAGACCCUAUGGAGCUUCAAACUAUUUAGCACUGGCUUUUAUGUAUUUCUACUUCAGAGUUUUUACACUUAUUCUAGCCUCUUGACUAAUAGUUUUAGGUUGGGGUGACCACGGAGCAAAAAUUAACCUCCACGAUGAACAGAGCUACUCUUGAACCAAAAGCCACAACUUUAAGCACCAAUAAACUGACACAAAUUGACCCAAUAUUUUGAACAACGAAC